UGUGCUGCACUCAAUGUAAAUAAGAAAAGUGUGGACCGGGACCUUGACGUUUAUCGCAAUUUGCUCUCCAAGCUGGUGCAAGCUAAAGAACUGUUGAAGGAAUACGUUGAAAGGUUAGAGUUCUUUCUUGGUUCGGGGGUGUAUCGUACGCAGCCUUACCUUGCAUUCUGCCAGAGGCUGUUUCCAAGGCUUGAACCCGUGACCUCCUGGUCACAUGGCAGCAACCCUUUUUUGGUACUGUAGUACAACCCUUUUUUGGUCUUUUUUGAAAAUUCUGUACGACAAGAAGGCUAAUAUGAAGAUUCUCAUUUAGUUAAGAGCUCCUUCUUGUACUCUUGGUAAUGAGGUCUUCGGUUGGUUAGGGUAGUUUUCAAGAGAUUCAUGCUAGGAAGCAGAAAGAAGAUAAGAAUUUUAACUUACGAUAAUCUUGAGUUUACUUGCAAUAAAAAAUGUCACUUGUUUGGAUAAUUGGAUUAAUAUAAUAAAAACAGUCUUGCUUAUGAUCGGAGUAAUUAUUGUAGCAGGUUUCCUGAAUUUGUUCACGUAUAGGUGAAACUCCCAUGUUUAUGCUCAUGUAAAUUCCGAUACACUUAGACAAGAAUAUCAUUGUUGACUUGUGGAAUUGACAUGACAGCUUUGUGCUGCACUCAAUGUAAAUAAGAAAAGUGUGGACCGGGACCUUGACGUUUAUCGCAAUUUGCUCUCCAAGCUGGUGCAAGCUAAAGAACUGUUGAAGGAAUACGUUGAAAGGUUAGAGUUCUUUCUUGGUUCGGCACUCUUCAGUAUCCUUUCUAUUAACUGUUCUCUAAGAACUAUUCAGCUGCUCUUUUCUCUAGCAUGCUUCUUGGAUAAGCUUUAACAAGGUUUUGCUCAUCGUAAUCUGCCUGGAAUCCAUGACUAUUCUCUUUUUGUCCCCCUACAUAUUCAUCUCCCACCCCCCUAACUUAUUCAACC
rnacentral:lncRNA from 1 species